rnacentral:rRNA from 1 species
UACGUAGGGUGCAAGCGUUAAUCGGAAUUACUGGGCGUAAAGCGUGCGCAGGCGGUUGUGCAAGACAGAUGUGAAAUCCCCGGGCUUAACCUGGGAACUGCAUUUGUGACUGCACGGCUAGAGUGUGUCAGAGGGGGGGUAGAAUUCCACGUGUAGCAGUGAAAUGCGUAGAUAUGUGGAGGAAUACCGAUGGCGAAGGCAGCCCCCCUGGGAUAACACUGACGCUCAUGCACGAAAGCGUGGGGGAGCAAACAGG